rnacentral:rRNA from 1 species
CUACGGGCGGCAGCAGUGAGGAAUAUUGCACAAUGGAGGAAACUCUGAUGCAGCAACGCCGCGUGGAGGAUGACGCAUUUCGGUGUGUAAACUCCUUUUAAGAGGGAAGAUUAUGACGGUACCUCUUGAAUAAGCACCGGCUAACUCCGUGCCAGCAGCCGCGGUAAUACGGAGGGUGCAAGCGUUACUCGGAAUCACUGGGCGUAAAGGGUGCGUAGGCUGGCUUCUAAGUCAGAUGUGAAAUCCAAUGGCUUAACCAUUGAACUGCAUUUGAAACUGGGAGCCUAGAGUUCAGAAGGGGCAGAUGGAAUUAGUGGUGUAGGGGUAAAAUCCGUAGAUAUCACUAGGAAUAUCAAAAGCGAAGGCGAUCUGCUGGGAUGAUACUGACGCUGAGGCACGAAAGCGUGGGGAGCAAACAGGAUUAGAUACCCGUGUAGUC